rnacentral:rRNA from 1 species
UACGUAGGGUGCAGGCGUUGUCCGGAAUUAUUGGGCGUAAAGAGCUCGUAGGCGGUUUGUCGCGUCUGCUGUGAAAACCCGAGGCUCAACCUCGGGCCCGCAGUGGGUACGGGCAGACUAGAGUGCGGUAGGGGAGAUUGGAAUUCCUGGUGUAGCGGUGGAAUGCGCAGAUAUCAGGAGGAACACCAAUGGCGAAGGCAGAUCUCUGGGCCGUAACUGACGCUGAGGAGCGAAAGCAUGGGGAGCGAACAGG